GACGAACGCUGGCGGCGUGCUUAACACAUGCAAGUCGAACGGAAAGGCCCUGCUUUUGUGGGGUGCUCGAGUGGCGAACGGGUGAGUAACACGUGAGUAACCUGCCCUUGACUGUGGGAUAACUUCAGGAAAGUGGGGCUAAUACGGGAUAGGAGCUCCUGCUGCAUGGUGGGGGUUGGAAAGUUUCGGCGGUUGGGGAUGGACUCGCGGCUUAUCAGCUUGUUGGUGGGGUAGUGGCUUACCAAGGCUUUGCCGGGUAGCCGGCCUGAGAGGGUGACCGGCCACACUGGGCCUGAGCUACGGCCCAGACUCCUCCCCGAGGCAGCAGUGCGGAAUAUUACACAAUGGGCUGAAGCCUGACGCAGCCCCGCCGCGUGCGGGAUGACGGCAUUCGGGUUGUAUACCGCUUUCGCCUGUGCCGAAGCGUGAGUGACGGUAAUGGGUAAAGAAGCACCGGCUAACUCCGUG
rnacentral:rRNA from 1 species